UACGUAGGCAGCGAGCGUUGUUCGGAGUUACUGGGCGUAAAGCGUGCGCAGGCGGUUUUGUAAGUUUGUCGUGAAAGCCCCGGGCUCAACCUGGGAAUUGCGAUGAAGACUGCAAGGCUUGAAUCUGGCAGAGGGGGGUAGAAUUCCACGUGUAGCAGUGAAAUGCGUAGAGAUGUGGAGGAACACCGAUGGCGAAGGCAGCCCCCUGGGUCAAGAUUGACGCUCAUGCACGAAAGCGUGGGGAGCAAACAGG
rnacentral:rRNA from 1 species